UACGAAGGGGGCUAGCGUUGUUCGGAUUUACUGGGCGUAAAGCGCACGUAGGCGGAUCGUUAAGUCGGGGGUGAAAUCCUGGAGCUCAACCUCGGAACUGCCUUUGAUACAGCAUAUCUUGAGUCCGAUAGAGGUGGGUGGAAUUCCUGGUGUAGCGGUGAAAUGCGCAGAUAUCAGGAGGAACACCGGUGGCGAAGGCGGGUCUCUGGGCCGAUGACUGACGCUGAGGAGCGAAAGCGUGGGGAGCAAACAGG
rnacentral:rRNA from 1 species